AUCGCUUCUCGGUCUUUUGGCUAAGAUCAAGUGUAGUAUCUGUUCUUAUCAGUUUAAUAUCUCCUGUGUUCUCUAAAUGAGAAAGUUAUAUUAAACAGACUUUCAGAACAGAGAGCGGGAAUAGAAGUUUGCUCCUUCUGCUCCACACAUUAAUCUGGUAUUGCAAUACCUCCAGGAAUAGUGCCUUUGUU